rnacentral:rRNA from 1 species
UGGCUCAGGACGAACGCUGGCGGCGUGCCUAAGCUUAUGCAAGUCGAACGCGAACGGCUCCUUCGGGAGCCUAGUAGAGUGGCAAACGGGUGAGUAACGCGUGGGUAACGUACCCUGAUCCUGGGAAUAGCCCUCGGAAACGAGGGCUAAUACCGAAUGUGGCGAACGACCGGUUGGUCGCUCGCUAAAGGUGGCCUCUUCUAUGCUGCCGGGUUGGGAUCGGCCCGCGUCCCAUUAGCUAGUUGGUGAGGUAACGGCUCACCAAGGCCACGAUGGGUAGCCGGCCUGAGAGGGUGUACGGCCACACUGGCACUGAGACAAGGGCCAGUCCCCUAUGGGAGGCGCAGGCGGGAAUAGUUCACAAUGGGCGAAAGCCUGAUGACGCGACGCCGCGUGAGCGAAGAAGACCUUCGGGUUGUAAAGCUCUGUCAGGAGGGAAGAAGGCUCUACGGGUUAAUAGCCCGUGGAAUUGACGGUACCUCCAGAGGAAGCCCCGGCUAAAUACGUGCCAGCAGCCGCGGUAAUACGUAUGGGGCAAGCGUUGUCCGGAUUUACUGGGCGUAAAGGGCGCGUAGGCGGUUUGUUAAGUCGAAGGUGAAAUCCUCGGGCUCAACUCGAGAAUUGCCUUCGAUACUGGCAAACUAGAGUGGCGGAGAGGAAAGCGGAACUCUUGGUGUAACGGUGGAAUGUGUAGAUAUCAAGAGGAACACCGGUGGCGAAGGCGGCUUUCUGGACGCACACUGACGCUCAGGCGCGAAAGCGUGGGUAGCAAACAGGAUUAGAUACCCUGGUAGUCCACGCCAUAAACGAUGGGUACUAGGUGUCGGGGGUAUCGACCCCUCCGGUGCCGCAGUUAACGCACUAAGUACCCCGCCUGGGGAUCAUGGUCGCAAGGCUGAAACUCAAAGGAAUUGACGGGGCCCCGCACAAGCGGUGGAGCAUGUGGUUUAAUUCGACGCAACGCGAAGAACCUUACCUGGGCUUGACAUGCUUGGGACCAGGCUUGAACCAGCGUCUCUCCUUCGG